rnacentral:lncRNA from 1 species
UUUCCACCAUCCUAUUUCUUCUUACUUCUUUUUUUUUGUUUAGAGAAACCCUUUCAGUAUUUCUUUUAGCAUGCGUUUAGUAUUGCUGUAGUCUUUUAGCUUUUGUUUGUUGAAGAAAUUCUUUAUUUCCCCUUCUAUUUGAAAUAAUAUUCUUGCUGGAUAGAGUAUUCUAGGCUGCAAAUUUUUCCUUUCAGCACUUUAAAUAUAUCUUGCCACUCCCUUCUGGCCUGUAGUGUUUCUGUAGAGAAAUCAGCUGAUAGCCUUAUGGAGGGGCCCUUAUAAUUAACACUUUGUUUUUCUCUUGCUGCCUUUAGAAUCCUCUCUUUAUCUUUAACUUUGCCAUUUUUAUUAUAUUAUGUCUUGGUGUGGGCCUGUUUGGGUUCAACUUGUUUGGAGCUCUCUAUGAUUCCUGUACCUUGAUAUCAGUUUCCUUUAAAUCUGGAAAGUUUUCAGACGUAAUUUCUUCAAAUAUAUUUUCAAUCCCCUUUUCUUUUCCUUCUCCUUCUGGAAUUCCUAUUAUGCAUAGGUUAGCCAGCUUUAUAUUAUCACAUAGAUCUCUUAUAUUGCUUUUGUGUUUUUUUAAUUUGGUUUUCUGUCUGCUGUCCUGAUUGGGUGAUUUCCAUUAUUCUGUCUUCAACAUCACCAAUUCAUUCAUCUGCAUUAUUCAUUUUGUUCUUUAGUGCCUUUAGUUCAGUUUGUGUCUCUGCAAAUGAAUGUCCUAAUUUUUCUAUGUUCCUCCUUAUAUUUUCUAGUUCCUUUCUAAAGGAAUCUGCAUUACCAUUCAUAUCCACUCUUAAUUCCUUGAUAGUCAACCUUAAGUCCUUCAGUAUUUUCACUAUCUCCCUUUUGAACUCAAUGUCUGUCAGACUGCAGAGGUCUGUUUCAUGCUUUGCUGGUUCAGGUGAAUUCCCCUGUUCCUUUAACUGGGAAUGGUUUCUUAACGUCUUCAUCUUGCUUAUAUUUUUCUUUUUCUGCUAGUUUAGGGAAGUCAAACAGUAGUCUUGGAAGGGCAACUUCUAUGCAAGAGCACCCCUUUGUAUUUUGUCAGGGGGUUACUAUUUAUUUUUGGCCUGGGAGUUUGAAUAUUUGCUGUCUCUUUCUUUGGCGUGAGCAGGUGUUAUCCCCAGGGUUCUGAGUGUGUUUCCAGGGAGAAUGAGGCAAUGGGUAGGGCUAGAAGUCAGUGCCUGGUUGCUGGCUCCUUAACAGCAGCAAGGACCUGCAGGAAGGUGGUGCAAGCUACUCCUAGUUGCAGGGCCCUGCAAAGUGGUAAUGAGCCUUAGGCAGAUUUACAAGGUACCCAGAGCAUUUGGUGUUGGCAGAAGCAGGGUGUGUGAGUUUCCAGAGAAUUGAGAGCAACAACAGGUAGUGUUCAAUUGCAAUGCCCUCCUCUGAGAUGACUGGAGCCACAAGCAGUGCCUGUUAAGGCACCCCUAGUUGUAGUGGGCCAUGUCCACCUCUGGAAUCAGUGAUAACUGUGGUGGUUUGCCCCCACCAACUUCAGACCAUGGAAGAAGCACCCCAUCUCACUUAGCCCCCACAGGAGGUGCUGCACCAGCUGCUCAUAGCUGUAGGUUCCUGGGAAGGGACAGUGAUCAAGCAUCUGGGUACUGCCCAGAAUGUUUGGCAGUGGCAGUGGCAAAGCAGGUGUGCUCCCAGGGGUGAAAGAGCAACAACAGGUGGUGUUCAGUCACAGUGCCCUCCUCUGUGGUGCCCUUGAGGUGAUUGGGGCCACAAGUGGUGCCUGUUCACAGAAUUCUAUUAGUGGUGGGUCAUGCCUCCCUCUGGCUUCUGAGACUACUGCUGCAGUCUGUCCCUGCUGCCUGUAGAUCAUGCAAGAGGCACCACGUCGCAUUUAGCCCCCUGCUGCCCUUAGCCCACACAAGAGGAUCCCAGCCACCUAUAGCCUGCACAAAAAGUGCCUGGUCUCCCUCAGCCUGAGCAAGAGGCUUCUUACCACCCAUAGCCUGCACCAGAGGCAUCCUGCCCUCUGAGAGCCCAUGUGCACAUGCAUAGGGAGAUUCCUAUGGUGGUCCACCCCUCCUCCUCUCACCUUCCCCAACAAUGGCACCUUGCUUCUCCUGUGGGCCCAGACAUUCUCCUUGGUUCCCUCUGCCAUGGCGUUCCACUCCUCAGCAUGUGGCACACUGCUCCUUAGCCUCUCAGGCUGUCCCCACACAGCCAACCCCAGUCCUCUCUCCAGAACUGACCUCUGGAGCCUGUCUCAGUUCCCAGCUCCCACCUGAACAUCUCAGGCUGUGGUGUCUGGGCAAGUGGUACAGAUGAUCUGUGUGGCUGUCACUCUGCUUUGCCCUCCUCUGUCCAGCUGCUGUGCUUUUCUCCAAAACUUUGAGGUCCCUCUGUCUUGGCUGAUCUCCCUGUCAGUUAGGUGGCUUCCCAGGAUGUGGGCUCCUUUUCUCUUUCACAGCUCCCUCUCAGGAAUGCUAGUCCUGUCCUGAUUCCUUUUUAAUCUCUCUCUGUCUUUCUUUUGUUCUACCCAGUUAUGUCAAGAGUUUCUUGUCCUUUUUUGGAGGUUUAAGUUCUUCUGCCAGUAUUCAGUAGGUGUUCUGUGUGAGUCAUUUUACAUGUAGUUUUUUUUUUUUUUUGAUGUGUUUGAGGGAGAAGGUGAGUGUGACAUCUUACUCCUCUGCUGUCUUGCUCCUCCUCUCCCUAUCAUACUGUUUUGAUGACUGUAGCAUAGUCUGAAGUUGGGAGCCUAUUCCUCUAGUUCCAUUUUUAUUUUUUAAUAUUUAAAAACUAGUUUUUAUUAUAGUUGAUUUUCAAUGUUCUGUCAAUUUCUGCUGUACAGCAAGGUGACCCAGUCAUACAUCUAUAUACAUUCUUUUUCUCAUAUUAUCUUCUAGCAUGUGCUAUCACAAGUGAUUGGAUAUAGUUCUUUGUGCUAUACAGCUGGAUCUCAUUGCUUAUCCAUUUUAAAUGGAAUAGUUUGCAUCUGCUAACCCCAAACUCCCAGUCCAUCCUAUUUCCUCUCCUGCCCCCUUGGUGACCACAAGUCUGUUUUUCAUGUUUGUGAAUCUGUUUCUGUUCUAUAGAUGGGUUCAUCUGUGCCAUAUUUUAGAUUCCACAUAUAAGUGGUAUCAUAUGGAAUUUGUCUUUUUCCGACUGACUUCACUUAGUAUGAGAAUCUCUAGUUGCAUCCUUGUUGCUGCAAAUGGCAUUAUUUUGUUCUUUUUUAUGGCUGAGUAGUAUUCUAUUGUGUAUAUGAACCUCAUAUUCUUAAUCCACUCAUCUCUUGAUGGACAAUUAGGCUAUUUCCAUAUCUUGGCUAUUAUGAAUAGUGCUGCAUUCAAUGGAAGGGUGCAUGUAUCUUUGAAUUGUAGUUUUGUCAGUUUUGUCUGGAUAUGUGCCCAGGAGUGGUAUUGCUGGAUUCUAUUUUAGGUCUAUAUUCAGUUUUCUGAGGAACCUCCAUACUGUUUUCUAUAGUGGUUUUACCAAUCUACAUUCCCCAAAACAGUGUAGGAGGUUUCCUUUUUUCUCCACACUUUCUCCAGCAUUUUUUAUUUGUGGUUUUAUUAAAGAUAGCCAUCCUGACUGGUGUGAGGUGGUAACUCAUUAUAGUUUUGAUUUGCAUAUCCCUAAUAAUUAGUGAUGUUGAUUUUUUUUUUUUCAUGUACCCGUUGGCCAUCUGUAUGUCUUCUUUGGAGAAAUGUCUAUUUAGGUCUUCUGCCCAUUUUUCAAUUGGGUUGUUUGUUUUUGUUUUUUUCUGUUGAGUUGUAUGAAUAUUUUGGAGAUUAAGCCUUUGUCUGUUGCAUCAUUUGCAACUAUGUUCUCCCAUUCCAUUUUUUUUUUUUCUUUUUCUCAAUCUGUGUCUCCAUUCUUUUUCUGAGAUCUUGGGUCAUCCUUACUAUCAUUACUCUGAAUUCUUUUAUAGGUGGGUUGCUUAUUUCCUUUUCAUUUAGUUGUUUUUGUGGGCUUUUAAAAUUAAUUUUUAAAUUAAAAAAUAUCUGAUUUACAUUGUUUUUCCAAUUUCUGCUACAGCAUAGUGUCACAAUCAUUCAUAUAUAUAUAUAUAUAUGUAUAUGUGUAUAUAUAUAUGUAUAUGUGUAUGUGUAUAUAUAUAUGUAUAUGUAUAUAUAUAUAUACACAUACAUGUACACACACAUUCUUUUUCUCAUCAUAUCUUCCAUCCUGUUCUAUCCCAAGAGAUUGGAUACAAUUCCUUGUGGUGUUCAGUACGACCUCAUUGCUUCUCCAUUCUAAAUGUAAUUGUUUGCAUCUCCCAACCCCAAACUCCCCUCCCAUCCCACUCCCUACACCCUCCCCUUGGCAACCAUAAGUCUGUUCUCUAUGUCUGUGAAUCUAUUUCUAUUUUGUAGAUAGGUUCAUUUGUGCCACAUUUUAGAUUCCACAUAUGUGAUGUUAUAUGGUAUUUGUCUUUCUCUUUCAGACUUAAUUCCCUCAGUAUGAGAACUUAUAGUUGCACCCAUGUUGCUGAAAAUGUCAUUAUUUCAUUUUUUAUGGCUGAGUAGUAUUCCAUUGUAUAUAUAUAUACCACAUCUUCUUAAUCCAUUCAUCUGUUGAUGGAUAUUUAGGUUGUUUCCAUGUCUGGGCUAUUGUGAAUAGUGCUGCAAUGAACUUUGGGGUGCACAUAUAUUUUUGAUUGAUAGUUUUGUCCAUCUAUAUGCCCAGGAGUGGGAUUACUGGAUCAUAAGGUAGUUCUAUAUUUAGUAUUUUUGAGGAAUGUCCAUAUUGUUUUCCAUAGUGGUUGUACCAGUUUACAUUCCAACAAGAGUGAAGGAGGUUUCUCUUUUUUCUACCCUUUCUCCAGCAUUUGUUAUUUGUAGACUUGCUGAUGAUGGCCACUUUGUCUGGUGUGAGGUGGUAAUUCAUUGUAGUUUUGAUUUGCAUUUUUUUUUGGUUUUUAUCUUGUUUCUUUAUCUGAAGCAUAUUUUUCUGUCAUCUCAUUUUUUCUAACUUUCUGGGUUUGUGUUUUCCUUUCUGUAGGCUGCAGGAUUGUAGUUUCUCUUACUCUUCUCCCUAGUUUUGGAAAGAGGAGCCACCAGAUCUGCUUUUUAGCUGUGUUUUUGAUCUGUGGUGUGAGGUAGGCAGGAUUGGAGUGCUCCUAUUAGGAGAGGAGCCCCUGAGUAUUCCUCUGCUAGAGCUGUUCACCUGUGAGUAUGCUCUGUUGUAUCACCUUUCACCUGUUGUGUGGGGUUACGAAGUACACUAUUUCUGGCGCCGCUAUGCUAGUAGUUGGCAAUGGUGCCUCUCAGGUGUUGUUUUCACCAAACCAUCAACACAUAUCCAGUGAUGUUUGUUCCCAGGACUGUGGUUUUUGUGCCCUUGUGCCCUCUGUGGGAGCUAUUGAGACAGCUUAGACUCUGGCCUGGUCCAGUCUCCAUGUGUAUGUUUCCACAGAGCCCACAGAUGUUAAAGCCAGACCUGUCUCAGCAGCAGGAACACUUGUUGCCUGUUGGGAUGUUUUGCAGGUACUGAAUCUACAAUGUUGGCAGCAUAGGUGUAAAUCUGCAAUUCUUGCAGCUGGGAGGAGAGGUUUCAGGUCUUCUUUCUUAAUUGCAGGGCCCCUUAGGCUCAUCUGUGGUUACGACCCCACCUCUGAGUAUGAACUACCCACUGGGGUCUGUUCCCAAGGUAGCAGGAAUACAGGAGCCUAUUCAGAAGGGUGGCAGGUGGGGCAGUGAUCAGGCACAUGACAUUCACUUUGCACUCUUGGUACAAUGGUGGCAGGGUUCAGGGCCCACUCUCAUGUUUCCCGGGCUUCUGCAAUUCUCUGCUCUCCUAGGAUAGUGUGGGUAGAGUUUGGCGCCUGCUCCCAGGUUUCAUGGGCUGUCUGCACUUCAUUGCACUUCUGGGGCACUUGAUCAAAUUCUGGUGUCUAUUGUCAGUCUUCAUGGGGUAUCUGCAACUCCUUGCAUUCCUGGGACAGCUGGAGUGGAGUCAGGCUCCCACUGGCAAAUUUCAUGGGGUGUCUGCAACUCCCUGCACUCUCAGGGCAGCUGGAGCAUAUUCUGGUGCCUGUUAACAAAUUUCACAGGGCAUCUAUGCUUCUUUAUAUUUUGUGUUGAAAUCUAUUUUUCCCUAGUAGAUUUCCCCAUUUAAGAAAUUUAAGUAUUUUUUGACAUUAGUGUGAAUUCCUUGGUGGAGCUGCUUAAAGACAUUUUUAGUGGCAAGAAAAUAAUCACACUGGAGGAAAAGAUAUGUCAAAGAUAUUUAAAGUGAAUCAUUCACUUGUAGAUAAUGGAAAGUUGGUAGCAGUGCUGCCUGCAUAGCAUGCUCACUUUUUUGUACUUCUCCACUUUUUCUUUUAACAUUCCUUAUUCUUCACUUCCCUUGCUAUUUUUCUAAGGUCACUUUCUGGCGGGUAACACCUACAUCUGUCCUCAUUAUGUGGUAUCCAAUACUUAGGCUUAUACUGUGUUUUCUCCCUUUAUCAAAGCUUAUGCGUAUUGUCAGCCAUUUUCUUUUUUAUCAUAUUGGAAUAUAAGCUAAUGUGCUGAUCCCCUCAAAGAUUUUUUUUAGGAUGUAUUAAUUUAUUAAUCCUUCACUCCUAUUUGCAUUUUUGCAAACAGU